CACGUAGGGUGCGAGCGUUGUCCGGAAUUAUUGGGCGUAAAGCGCUCGCAGGUGGUUCGUCGCGUCGUGCGUGAAAGACCCCGGCUCAACUGGGGGGUGUCGUGCGAUACGGGCGGACUGGAGGCCAGUAGGGGGAUGCGGAAUUCCGGGUGUAGUGGUGGAAUGCGUAGAGAUCCGGAGGAACACCAGCGGCGAAGGCGGCAUCCUGGACUGGUCCUGACACUCAGGAGCGAAAGCGUGG
rnacentral:rRNA from 1 species